CUCAGACAUUCUGGUCCUCACGGGCCAAGCUGGCCAGAGCUCCAAUCCCUUAUCACAGUGACCAAACUACAUAGAGAAAAAGAGGCAUGAAAACAAGGACUCUUACAAGACUUGCCAAAUGUUAGGCUGAACAAGUGAAAUAGCCAUUUUUAUGGGUUACAAAACAGUUAGACAUCAGUAACGGCAUUGAGUUCCACCUAAUUUGAACCAACGGGAAAGGUCAAUACUUAAUUGGAUUAAAAGAAGAAACACCUGGAGAUAAAAUAGCUAACAGAGGAAACAACAACAGCAAAAACACUUUCAAUAAGUAAAAUUAAUAUCAGAGAGGAUCAAGAGGUUAUUACACUCCUAGAAAAGAGGCACAGUGCAAUAAAACUUAUAUAUAACAUCCCAUUUAAUCAUCAUAACAAUUCUAAGAAGUGGGAACUCUCUUGUCCCAUUUUACAUGUGAGGGAAGUGAAGCAUGUCUUUGGGUAGCCAACACACCGCCAUUCUUAGUCCGUGUGUUUUGGGAAACGUGG
rnacentral:lncRNA from 10 species